UACGUAGGGGGCUAGCGUUGUCCGGAAUCAUUGGGCGUAAAGAGCGUGUAGGCGGCCCGGUAAGUCCGCUGUGAAAGUCGGGGGCUCAACCCUCGAAUGCCGGUGGAUACUGUCGGGCUAGAGUGCGGAAGAGGCGAGUGGAAUUCCUGGUAUAGCGGUGAAAUGCGCAGAUAUCAGGAGGAACACCGAUUGCGAAGGCAGCUCGCUGGGACGUCACUGACGCUGAGACGCGAAAGCGUGGGGAGCAAACAGG
rnacentral:rRNA from 1 species